GUGGGGAAUAUUGGGCAAUGGGGGAAACCCUGACCCAGCAACGCCGCGUGAAGGAAGAAGGUUUUCGGAUCGUAAACUUCUAUCCUUGGUGAAAAUAAUGAUGGUAGCCAAGAAGGAAGCCCCGGCUAACUACGUGCCAGCAGCCGCGGUAAUACGUAGGGGGCAAGCGUUGUCCGGAAUGAUUGGGCGUAAAGGGCGCGUAGGCGGCCUGAUAAGUUUGAAGUGAAAGUCCUUCUUUUAAGGAGGGAACUGCUUUGAAAACUGUCGGGCUUGAGUGCAGGAGAGGUAAGCGGAAUUCCCGGUGUAGCGGUGAAAUGCGUAGAGAUCGGGAGGAACACCAGUGGCGAAGGCGGCUUACUGGACUGUUACUGACGCUGAGGCGCGAAAGUGUGGGGAGCAAACAGGA
rnacentral:rRNA from 1 species